rnacentral:rRNA from 1 species
AUGAAGUCACAUAUCAUUUGUUUGGCAUAUGUAGUAGUUGUAGUUGCACACAUAAUUAUUUCAGUUGGAUACGAUCACUGGAAAAUUGCACACAUGCUGAUGCUAUGUUGGCUAGAUGAUGUGUCGCGCUCCCGUUGGCAUAGUUGUACAUGUGUGGCCACCGAAUUGCACACUCUCACCGGCAUAGUCGCACAUGCAUGGGUGCGCACCGCCAUAAUAGUUGUAGUCUCCUCCCUCCUCUUUCUUGGAGUUGAAGCAAGUGUUUCCCAGCCGCCGCAGCCGGAAAGGGCCGCCGCGCUCCUCCUACCGGCGCCGCGGCUACGCACUCGGCCGCCGUUCUCAAGGAAGGUGUCCUCGUGCCGCUGGCCGCCGUCGUCGUCGGAAGAAGUGGAUUCGAUCUUGUAG